rnacentral:lncRNA from 1 species
GUUGAUUUCUCAAGUGCAAUCAAGUAUUUAUUGUGACACUUAUUUUGACGUUUGCUUAUGUUUGUGAAUAGUUGACAAUUUUUCCCCAGUCUUGAAAAAGCACCCAUGUUCCAAGAUCUGCAGCCAAUCCUGUGCUUCCUCAUUGUGCAUGUGGGUGGACAGUGCUUCCAUGUCCUCACUGGCCCUUGUCCUGACCUGCUGUGCCCACUCACACUUCCAGGAAAUGGAAUAAUCUUUCUCAGGGCUGAUGGCUUUUUGUUGGUGGAAAGAAAGGAAAUAUAGAGGAGAGAAGCUAAGAAGCAAUAAUACAUCUAUAAUUCAAAGGAUUUAGAUAAGUAAAAGAAAUACUUUUGGAAAUAAUUGCUGAAUGUGUUGCUGAUGAGAUUCUAGGACCUCUAUCGGUAGAGCCCUUUGAAGUUAGGAGCUGCUGAAAUGAGGUUUGCCAGGGGAGCCAGAGUGUGGCCCUUGGCCUUUGCUGGUGACAUGGCAAGCACAACUCUCUGGCCAUCUCUGGUUAGUCUAUUUGGGGCUUCACAAGCUCCCUCCACUGACUGCAUUGUCACCUCAUUUGUUUUUACCAUUAAAUGCUUGAGAUGAGAAGUGAAGACCAAGAACAGCCUAUCUGCAGGCCAGGGAAAGAUUUCAUUCAUUGUGAAGAAUAAACCCAUAUGAAAAGUUUUCUCCAAACACUUCCUGGGGUCAGGGUACUCAUUAACAAAGAAGUCUGUGUGACAGAAAUUAUGCAUCUGGUUCUAUAAGGUGCUUCAGCUUUGCCUGGUUGAGUUGCUGUGGAGUUAAUCCCAAGAUAAGGAGAAAAGAUGCUGACCUAUUUUUACUAGGAUUAACUCCUCAAACAGCUAUUAUAGGUGAACAAAUGCCCGAUCCAUUUCCAUGCGUGAACACCCAUCUGGGCACUGAUGAGGCCAGAAGACCUCCGCUGAGUUGUAGUCGGGGAGCAGCGAGGGUUGCGUCUUUCAGAGGCCUGUGGCACCACUACAAGGACCCAUUCACCAGGCAAGGAGUCCCAGGAGUUGGUUUCAGAUGCCUGUCAGGAAUCUGUUCAAAGGGUCUUACUAUGUUGCGCAGGCUAGACUCAAACUCCUCGGAUCAAGUGAUAUUCUCACCUCAGCCACCUGAGUAG